GGCUGAUGACUGGGGUGAAGUCGUAACAAGGUAGCCGUACCGGAAGGUGCGGCUGGAUCACCUCCUAA
rnacentral:rRNA from 1 species